GAUGAACGCUGGCGGCGUGCCUAAUACAUGCAAGUCGAGCGAACAGACGAGGAGCUUGCUCCUCUGACGUUAGCGGCGGACGGGUGAGUAACACGUGGAUACCCUACCUAUAAGACUGGGAUAACUUCGGGAAACCGGCGCUAAUACCGGAUAAUAUCUUGCACCGCAUGGUUCAAUAGUGAAAGACGGUUUUGGUGUCACUUAUAGCUGGAUCCGCGCCGGAUUAGCUAGUUGGUAAGGUAACGGCGUACCAAGGCAACGAGGCGUAGCCGACCUGAGAGGGUGAUCGGCGACACUGGAGCUGAGACACGGUCCAGACUCCUACGGGAGGCAGCAGUAGGGAAUCGGCCGCAAUGGGCGAAAGCCUGACGGAGCAACGCCGCGUGAGUGAUGAAGGUCUUCGGAGCGUAAAACUCUGUUAUUAGGGAAGAACAAAUGUGUAAGGAACUAUGCACGUCGUGACGGUACCUAAUCAGAAAGCCACGGCUAACUACGUG
rnacentral:rRNA from 1 species